rnacentral:tRNA from 1 species
GGUGAAAUGGCUGAUAAUAGGCAAUAAACUGUAAAUUUAUUUAUGAGAAUAAUAUCUCUUUUACCA